AUUGAACGCUGGCGGCAUGCCUUACACAUGCAAGCCGAACGGCAGCACGGGAGCAAUCCUGGUGGCGAGUGGCGAACGGGUGAGUAAAGUAUCGGAACGUGCCCAGUCGUGGGGGAUAACGUAGCGAAAGUUACGCUAAUACCGCAUACGAUCUAUGGAUGAAAGCGGGGGAUCGCAAGACCUCGCGCGAUUGGAGCGGCCGAUAUCAGAUUAGGUAGUUGGUGGGGUAAAGGCUCACCAAGCCGACGAUCUGUAGCUGGUCUGAGAGGACGACAAGCCACACUGGGACUGAGCCACGGCCCAGACUCCUACGGGAGGCAGCAGUGGGGAACUUUGGACAAUGGGCGAAAGCCUGAUCCAGCCAUGCCGCGUGCAGGAUGAAGGCCUUCGGGUUGUAAACUGCUUUUGUACGGAACGAAAAGGUUUGGCCUAAUAAGCUGAGCUCAUGACGGUACCGUAAGAAUAAGCACCGGCUAACUACGUGCCAGCAGCCGCAGUAA
rnacentral:rRNA from 1 species